rnacentral:ncRNA from 2 species
UAGUGGUUCCACGGGAGCCCGGGAGCGUCGGCAGCACAUCGGCGGCGCGAGGGGCUGAGAGGGCGUUCGGCGCCGACCGUAUGAACCUGAACCGGUUGAUCCCGGCGUAGGAAGGACACGCAUGAGCUCG